UGAGGUGUUUGCAUUUAUUUGUCUACUACACACUUGAAAUUUCAAUGUAAUGACAGUUAUACUUGUUAUUGUGUUUCUUUCUUAACUCUUUUCAGUUUUAAAAUGGACAGUUUCUGUAACCUUUUGGGUUUUUGUUUUUGGUUACUCUCAUAGGUCCCUGAUCCACCAAUCCCGAGAUCAGUCUUUAAGGUGUAGCUCUCUAUAAAAUCUUAUUUCUCUUUUCUGAACCGGGCAGCUCCUUUGUCUUCUUGGCAGCCUGCUCAGGAU
rnacentral:lncRNA from 1 species